CACGGAUUCUAGGAGGGUUCGUUACCGCUGAGCCACUACGGGAACUCUGAAAUUAAAGAUUCUUUCAUUUUAACUUUGGUAUACAGGAAACCACUGUAAGAUUUAGUUCCUUUCAAUACUAAUGGUUACAAAAGGAUAAACCAUACAAGAUGAAAAAUUUUAAAUCCCUUGCUACAACAAGAAAUGACAAGGUGCAUCCUAGUCUGUGGUCCCCUGUAUCUCACAUGGUGGGGGAAGGGUAUUUUCAGGAAUAAACACAUCAUUAUAAUGUAACAAGGGUUUGGGUUUAGUCUUUUUUUUUUUUUUUUGGCUGCACCCACGGCAUGUGGAAGUUCCUGGGGCCAGGGAUCAAACCCAAGCCACGGCAAUGACAGAGCCACAGCAGUGACAAUGCCAGAUCUUUAUAACUUGCUGAGCCGCCAGGGAACUCAUGGAUUUAGUUCUUUCAGCACAGGAGAAGUUUCGUAAAAUUUGAUUAGCUUUCCUCACAUCAAUUAAAACAGGAAUUCAAUUGCUUUAGCCUUUGAAAUAUCAAUAUUCUCUAAGGACAUGCACACGCUGAACACUGAUAUAAAAAUGAAACAAACACGUAGCUGAAAAUGUAAACACAUUCAUCUCCCACCUUGAGGUUCUCUCCCCUAAAAGGAACAAAGAUUCUAUUUAGUUCCACCAUUUUCUUGCCUUACUGACAUCCUCUCACUCAACUUACAUUUUUAAGCUCAAGACACUGAAAAUGCUAUUUCUUCCACAAAGAAUUAACUACAAAGUGCUAAGGAAAACUAGAUCCAAUGCACUUGCCAAUGGAUAAAAGAAUCCAAAGGCUAGAAACAAAUAUUGGAAUUGGCACAGAUAACUGGCCAGCGUCCCCCAGGGCAGAAGAAGCCACAUUUAGAAAGUUUGACACAUGAUAGGCUCGCCCCACUGAGAUGGAACAGCUGGACAGGGUCAGUCCCUAGAGGAGGAGGGUGGGGACACCUUAGUAGCCACAGGAAUGAACUCUGGGAGCCCCCCACAUCCUCCUUUCCCCGGGGAUUAAUGGAAAAUCUCCCCUUCUCAGGCUUCCAUUAUCACAGUGAGAAAACUCAGCAGGACUCAGGUUUUUCGGUUUUGUUUUUGUUUUUUUUUUUGUCUUUUGUCUUUUUAGGGCCGCACCGGUGGCAUAUGGAGAUUCCCAGGCUAAGGGUCUAAUCAGAGUUACAGCUGCCAACGUACACCACAGCCACAGCAACGGGGGAUCCGAGCCACACCUGUGACCUACACCACUGCUCACAGCAACGCUGGAUCCUUAACCCACUGAGUGAGGCCAGGAAUUGAACCCGAAACCUCAUGGUUCCUAGUUGGGUUCGUUUCCACCGCGCCACGAUGGGAACUCCCCAGGACUCAGUUUUUUUGUUUUUAUUUUUUGCGUUUUUAGGACUGCCCUUACAGCAUAUGGAAGUUCCCAGGCGAGGGGUCGGAUCAGUGGUACAGCUGCCAGCCUACACCAUAGCCACAGCAACACAGGAUCCGAGCCACGUCUUCAACCUACACCACACUCACAGCAACACCAGAUUGCUGACCCACUGAGCAAAGCCAGGGAUCGAACCUGCAUCCCCAUGGAUACUAAUCGGAUUAGUUUCUGCUGUGCCAUAACAGGAACUCCUGGCAGGAUUCAGUUUAAGGUUGAUUCAAAUAAACUUCCAAAUUCAUGAACCCUAACCCAGGACACAGAACAACUGACUGUCACAGACUUUCUCAGUGUAAACAAUAUACACUCUGAGGGCAGCUACACCUCGGACGCAAAACUCCAACCUAAGCCUAGAAACAGGCCCAAAGUGAACCACAGUUAAAACCUUGAAAGGGUAUUGCCACACUCCAUCUUCCCCCAAACCCCUUCUGUCGUGUGCACUUGCACCCCCAGCUUUCUAGGGCUCUGUAGCGUAUCUCCCUAUAAAGAUUCCCUCGUGGGUAUGAACAGGUAGGAUACAGAGCUUGGUUCCCCAGGAAGAAUCACCUGGGCCUUCAAGUACUUUCCUUUGCAGCCUCAAGGGGGCCUCACCUUGGGUUACUGACCUCAGGCUCUCCCAGUCACAUUGCUUUGGAUCAUGCUAAAGAUAUUUUAUUCUUUUUUUUCCUUUCCAGGGCCCCACCUGCAGCAAAUGGAAGUUCCCAGGCUAGGGGUCAAAUCAGAACUGCAGCUACUGGCCUCCAAGCCACAUCUGCAAUCUAUGCCACAGUUUAUAGCAACACCAGAUUCUUAACCCACUGAGCAAGGCCAGGGAUUGAACCCACAUCCUCAGGGAUACUAGUCGGAUUCUUAACCUGCUGAGCCACAAAGGGAACUCCCUGAUGAUAUUCUAAAUGACACAGUGACUGAAGAAUCCAGCAAAAUCACACAUACCUAGUGUUUAAGGAGAAAGGAGGGAAGAAAACUGCAAGGCAUUUUUUGAAUUCAACAGGAAAACCCCUAGGUAUCUAUUACUUUCAGAAAAUAAUGAUAUUCAUUAAUUAUUAUUCCCACAGCAAGAAACUGUUUAAUAAACAAAUAACUAUAUCUAAAUAGCUGAAGCCUAAGCCCUGGAAUUGCAUUUGAACACCUCCCCCCCCAACAAAAACCCUAAAACAAAGAGACCUCAGAAUAUUACUACACUUGCUUAGGGAAGGAAGAGAAACAAGAAUUUUUUUAUGUUUUAACACAUUCAAUGUAAUAUAAUGAUAUUUUCUUUUUUCUGAAAUUCACCUAUUUCUUGCCUCUUUGGAAAUAUUUUAUACCAUCUUUCAAGUUUCACUGAUUACUUAAAUUUUUAAGUUUUUUAAAUAACUGAGGCUCACAUAAAUGAAUAAAUCUUUUCAGGGUGACAAACCUGGGGAGGGGCAGUGCUGACAGGUCAGAUCACCCAGGAACAUUUCCAAAGAGCAAACUCUACACAAGAUGUCUGUGCCCAGGAAAGAUCCUGGGAAGAGUGGCACAAGGAUUUCACACAACUUAGUUUCAGGUGGUUAUUCUCAGUUUUCUUCCUCUCAUGGAAAAUAUCCACAGCUAAAAUAAAUCUUUAAAAAAAAACAAAACCUGAAUUCCCACUGUGGCACAAUGAGUUAAGAAUCUGACUGCAGCAGCUCUGGUCGCUGUGGAGGUGUGGGUUCAAUCCCCUGCCGUGGGUUAAAGGAUCUAGCAUUGCUGCAGUUGUGGCAUAGGUCUCAGCUGUGGCUCAGAUUCAGUCCCUGGCCAGGGAACUUCCAUAUGCUU
rnacentral:lncRNA from 1 species